AUUGAACGCUGGCGGCAGGCCUAACACAUGCAAGUCGAGCGGAUGACGGGAGCUUGCUCCUUGAUUCAGCGGCGGACGGGUGAGUAAUGCCUAGGAAUCUGCCUGGUAGUGGGGGACAACGUUACGAAAGGAACGCUAAUACCGCAUACGUCCUACGGGAGAAAGCAGGGGACCUUCGGCCCUUGCGCUAUCAGAUGACCCUCGGUUGGAUUAGCUGGUAGGUGAGGUAAUGGCUCACCUAGGCGACGAUCCGUAACUGGUCUGAGAGGAUGAGCAGUCACACUGGAACUGAAACACGGUCCAGACUCCAACGUGAGGCAGCAGUGGGGAAUAUUGGACAAUGGGCGAAAGCCUGAUCCAGCCAUGCCGCGUGUGUGAAGAAGGUCUUCGGAUUGUAAAGCACUUUAAGUUGGGAGGGAGGGCAGUAAGCUAAUACCUUGCUGUUUUGACGUUACCGACAGAAUAAGCACCGGCUAACUCUGUGCCAGCAGCCGCCGUAAGAC
rnacentral:rRNA from 1 species